CCUACGGGCGGCUGCAGUAGGGAAUCUUCGGCAAUGGACGAAAGUCUGACCGAGCAAUGCCGCGUGAGUGAAGAAGGUUUUCGGAUCGUAAAACUCUGUUGGUAGAGAAGAACGUUGGUGAGAGUGGACAGCUCAUCAAGUGACGGUAACUACCCAGAAAGGGACGGCUAACUACGUGCCAGCAGCCGCGGUAAUAAGUGGGUGCAGAGCGUUGUCCGGAUUUCUUGGGCGUAAAGGGGGCGCAGGUGGUUUAUUAGUUCGGGUGGAAAACGCAGUGGCUCAACCAUUGUAUGCAUUGGAAACUGGUAGACUUGAGUGCAGGAGAGGAGAGUGGAAUUCCAUGUGUAGCGGUGAAAUGCGUAGAUAUAUGGAGGAACACCGGUGGCGAAAGCGGCUCUCUGGCCUGUAACUGACACUGAGGCUCGAAAGCGUGGGGAGCAAACAGGAUUAGAUACCCGUGUAGUC
rnacentral:rRNA from 1 species